rnacentral:rRNA from 1 species
UACAGGGGGUGCUAGCGUUGUUCGGAAUUACUGGGCGUAAAGAGCUCGUAGGCGGCUUGUCGCGUCGACUGUGAAAACCCGUGGCUCAACCAUGUGGUCUGCAGUCGAUACGGGCAGGCUAGAAUUCGGUAGGGGAGACUGGAAUUCCUGGUGUAGCGGUGAAAUGCGCAGAUAUCAGGAGGAACACCGGUGGCGAAGGCGGGUCUCUGGGCCGAUAUUGACGCUGAGGAGCGAAAGCGUGGGGAGCGAACAGG